UACGUAGGGGGGCAAGCGUUGUCCGGAAUCAUUGGGCGUAAAGCGCGUGUAGGCGGUCCGGUAAGUCGGCUGUGAAAGUCCAGGGCUCAACCCUGGGAUGCCGGUCGAUACUGCCGGACUAGAGUUCGGAAGAGGCGAGUGGAAUUCCCGGUGUAGCGGUGAAAUGCGCAGAUAUCGGGAGGAACACCAAUGGCGAAGGCAGCUCGCUGGGACGUUACUGACGCUGAG
rnacentral:rRNA from 1 species